ACUACGGGAGGCAGCAGUGAGGAAUAUUGGUCAAUGGGCGGAAGCCUGAACCAGCCAAGUAGCGUGCAGGAUGACGGCCCUACGGGUUGUAAACUGCUUUUAUACGGGAAUAACGCGCCUUACGUGUAGGGCUUUGCAUGUACCGUAUGAAUAAGGACCGGCUAAUUCCGUGCCAGCAGCCGCGGUAAUACGGAAGGUCCGGGCGUUAUCCGGAUUUAUUGGGUUUAAAGGGAGCGUAGGCCGCAUGUCAAGCGUGCUGUGAAAUGUCCGGGCUCAACCCGGGCCUUGCAGCGCGAACUGGCGUGCUUGAGUCCGCGGAAAGCAGGCGGAAGUCGUCGUGUAGCGGUGAAAUGCUUAGAUAUGACGAAGAACCCCGAUUGCGAAGGCAGCUUGCUGCAGCGGAACUGACGCUGAUGCUCGAAAGCGCGGGUAUCGAACAGGAUUAGAUACCCCAGUAGUC
rnacentral:rRNA from 1 species